CCCUUAGAUGUUCUGGGCCGCACGCGCGCUACACUGACGAAGUCAGCGAGCAUGUCCUACGCCGACAGGUGCGGGGAAUCUUGUCAAACUUCGUCGUGAUGGGGAUUGAUUAUUGAAAUUCUUGAUCAUCAACGAGGAAUUCCUAGUAAGCGCAAGUCAGCAGCUUGCGUUGAUUACGUCCCUGCCCUUUGUACACACCGCCCGUCGCUCCUACCGAUUGGGUGAGCCGAUGAAACUCUCGGAUGUAGGCUAUUCAUAGCCCGCAGAAGAGAUUUGAAUCGUAGCGCUUAGAGGAAGGAGAAGUCGUAACA
rnacentral:rRNA from 1 species